AUGCUAGCAGCUGCUGUGAUUAGGCCAAGCUCAAGCCCUUUGCCCUUUUCAAGUCAUGUACCUAUAGGUAGGAUGGGUGGGAGUUGGCGAUUGUGUAUAGACUACAGGAAACUAAAUAGCCUUACCAUUAAUAAAAAUAUCCCAUUCCUUUCGUGGAUGAACUCUUGGAAGAGGGCAGUCCCAAAUGAAAAAAGCCAUUUAUCGAUCCCAAGAAGCAAGUGA
rnacentral:rRNA from 1 species